CAGUACAAGCCUAAUUAAGGUGAACCCGCGAAAGGCUCAUUAAACCAGUUAUGGUUCCUUAGAUCGUACGCACAUUUACUUGAAUAACUGUGGUAAUUCUAGAGCUAAUACAUGCAAACAGAGCUCCGACCAGAGAUGAAAGGAGUGCUUUUAUUAGAUCAAAACCAAUCGGCGGCAGUCACUUCGGUGUCUGUUCGUCGCCCUAUUUGGUGACUCUGAAUAACUUUAUGCUGAUCGCACGGUCUUGCACCGGCGACGCAUCUAUCAAAUGUCUGCCUUAUCAACUGUCGAUGGUAGGUUCUGCGCCUACCAUGGUUGUAACGGGUAACGGGGGAUCAGGGUUCGAUCCCGGAGAGGGAGCCUGAGAAACGGCUACCACAUCCAAGGAAGGCAGCAGGCGCGCAAAUUACCCACUCCCGGCACGGGGAGGUAGUGACGAAAAAUAACGAUACGGGACUCAUCCGAGGCCCCGUAAUCGGAAUGAGUACACUUUAAGUCCUUUAACCAGGAACCAUUGGAGGGCAAGUCUGGUGCCAGCAGCUGCGGUAAUUCCAGCUCCAAUAGCGUAUAUUAAAGUUGUUGCGGUUAAAAAGCUCGUAGUUGAAUCUGUGUCCCGUGCUGUCGGUUCACCGCCCGCGGUGCUAACUGGCACGUCUCACGGGACGUCCUGCCGGUGG
rnacentral:rRNA from 2 species